rnacentral:rRNA from 1 species
ACUAUAGCUUGACACUGAACAUUGAGCCUUGAUGUGUAGGAUAGGUGGGAGGCUUUGAAGUGUGGACGCCAGUCUGCAUGGAGCCGACCUUGAAAUACCACCCUUUAAUGUUUGAUGUUCUAACGUGGACCCGUGAUCCGGGUUGCGGACAGUGUCUGGUGGGUAGUUUGACUGGGGCGGUCUCCUCCUAAAGAGUAACGGAGGAGCACGAAGGUUGGCUAAUCCUGGUCGGACAUCAGGAGGUUAGUGCAAUGGCAUAAGCCAGCUUGACUGCGAGCGUGACGGCGCGAGCAGGUGCGAAAGCAGGUCAUAGUGAUCCGGUGGUUCUGAAUGGAAGGGCCAUCGCUCAACGGAUAAAAGGUACUCCGGGGAUAACAGGCUGAUACCGCCCAAGAGUUCAUAGUCGACGGCGGUGUUUGGCACCUCGAUGUCGGCUCAUCACAGUCCUGGGGCUGAAGUAGGUCCCAAGGGUAUGGCUGUUCGACCAUUUAAAGUGGUACGCGAGCUGGGUUUAGAACGUCGUGAGACAGUUCGGUCCCUAUCUGCCGUGGGCGCUGGAGAACUGAGGGGGGCUGCUCCUAGUACGAGAGGACCGGAGUGGACGCAUCACUGGUGUUCGGGUUGUCAUGCCAAUGGCACUGCCCGGUAGCUAAAUGCGGAAGAGAUAAGUGCUGAAAGCAUCUAAGCACGAAACUUGCCCCGAGAUGAGUUCUCCCUGAGACUUAGAGUCUCCUGAAGGAACGUUGAAGACGACGACGUUGAUAGGCCGGGUGUGUAAGCGCAGCGAUGCGUUGAGCUAACCGGUACUAAUGAACCGUGAGGCUUAACCUUACAACGCCGAAG